UGGGGAAUAUUGGACAAUGGAGGGAACUCUGAUCCAGCAAUUCUGUGUGCACGAAGAAGGUUUUCGGAUUGUAAAGUGCUUUCAGUAGGGAAGAAGAAAGUGACGGUACCUACAGAAGAAGCGACGGCUAAAUACGUGCCAGCAGCCGCGGUAAUACGUAUGUCGCAAGCGUUAUCCGGAAUUAUUGGGCUUAAAGGGCAUCUAGGCGGUAUUUCAAGUCAGGGGUGAAAACUUAUGGCUCAACCAUAAGCUUGCCUUUGAAACUGAAAGACUAGAGUACUGGAAAGGUGGGUGGAACUACACGAGUAGAGGUGAAAUUCGUAGAUAUGUGUAGGAAUGCCGAUGAUGAAGAUAACUCACUGGACAGAAACUGACGCUGAAGUGCGAAAGCUAGGGGAGCAAACAGGAUUAGAUACCCUGGUAGUCCUAGCUGUAAACGAUGAUCACUGGGUGUGGGCAUGAAGAGUGUCUGUGCCGAAGCUAAUGCGAUAAGUGAUCCGCCUGGGGAGUACGACCGCAAGGNUG
rnacentral:rRNA from 1 species